UACGUAGGGUCCGAGCGUUGUCCGGAAUUAUUGGGCGUAAAGGGCUCGUAGGCGGUUUGUCACGUCGGGCGUGAAAACUCAGGGCUCAACCCUGAGCGUGCGUUCGAUACGGGCAGACUAGAGGUAUGCAGGGGAGAACGGAAUUCCUGGUGUAGCGGUGGAAUGCGCAGAUAUCAGGAGGAACACCGGUGGCGAAGGCGGGUCUCUGGGCCGUAACUGACGCUGAGGAGCGAAAGCAUGGGGAGCGAACAGG
rnacentral:rRNA from 1 species